rnacentral:SRP_RNA from 12 species
CCGGCCACGUCAGACCAGGAGUGGGGCGUGAGGCGCGAAGGAUGCGUGCCUUGAUCACGCAGAAAGAAGAAGACGGCAUGAGGCUGGU